AUAACGGAGCGAAAGCUUUGCUAAUACCGCAUACGAUCUACGGAUGAAAGCGGGGAUCUUCGGACCUCGCGCGGACGGAGCGGCCGAUGGCAGAUUAGGUAGUUGGUGGAUAAAAGCUUACCAAGCCGACGAUCUGUAGCUGGUCUGAGAGGAUGAUCAGCCACACUGGGACUGAGACACGGCCCAGACUCCUACGGGAGGCAGCAGUGGGAAUUUUGGACAAUGGGGGCAACCCUGAUCCAGCCAUGCCGCGUGCAGGAUGAAGGCCUUCGGGUUGUAAACUGCUUUUGUACGGAACGAAAAGACUCUGGUUAAUACCUGGGGUCCAUGACGGUACCGUAAGAAUAAGCACCGGCUAACUACGUGCCAGCAGCCGCGGUAAUACGUAGGGUGCAAGCGUUAAUCGGAAUUACUGGGCGUAAAGCGUGCGCAGGCGGUGAUGUAAGACAGAGGUGAAAUCCCCGGGCUCAACCUGGGAACUGCCUUUGUGACUGCAUCGCUGGAGUGCGGCAGAGGGGG
rnacentral:rRNA from 1 species